UCCAGACUCCUACGGGAGGCAGCAGUGAGGAAUAUUGGUUAAUGGGCGCAAGCCUGAACCAGCCAAGUCGCGUGAGGGAAGACGGUCCUAUGGAUUGUAAACCUCUUUUGUCGGGGAGCAAAAGACGCCACGUGUGGCGUUCCGAGAGUACCCGAAGAAAAAGCAUCGGCUAACUCCGUGCCAGCAGCCGCGGUAAUACGGAGGAUGCGAGCGUUAUCCGGAUUUAUUGGGUUUAAAGGGUGCGCAGGCGGCACGGCAAGCCGGCGGUCAAAUCGCGGGGCUCAACCCCGCCCAGCCGUCGGAACUGCCGGGCUAGAGUGGGCGAGAAGUGCGCGGAAUGCGUGGUGUAGCGGUGAAAUGCAUAGAUAUCACGCAGAACUCCGAUUGCGAAGGCAGCAUACCGGCGCCCAACUGACGCUGAAGCACGAAAGCGUGGGUAUCGAACAGGAUUAGAUACCCGCGUAAG
rnacentral:rRNA from 1 species